GCGGUGUCAAGGGAAGGGGGUGGCAUAGGGGGCAGGUGGGGGGGCAGAGGUGCCCUCAGCGCCCUGGGCGCGUGGGCUGUCAGGGGAGGGGGCGCUGCCCUGGGGCUGGGGUGAUGCUGCCUCCAGCCAGGCCAGGCCGUCCCGCCGCGAGAUGCCCGGUACCGCAGCCAGACUGGGGGUGUCACAGGUACCCCGUGCCCCACGGCUGCGGCGCUCCUCGCUUUUCCCACCCGCCUGUGUUAGCGGUGGGCUUGGCUGCUGUGGGGCACGGGCUUGCGGGACCCACAGCUGAAGCAGGGGCACGGGCAGCAUCUCCCCUUUCCUUCUGCGAACUAAGCCCCACACAGCUGAGGCGUGAGCAGCGUCACGAUGCCCUGAGGAUCGGGGAACUCGGGUCUCUCUAUGCCAGUGAGCCCCUGGGCGAUGUCAUGUGCAUGGAAACACUCUGGGAAUUUGUGGGAACAGCAUUGUCAGGCUUAGGCGGGGAGCUCAGGAGACCUCCACCGUUGUGCUGUGAAUGUAAAAGAAAUCCAUUCUUACUGGUGCUCCAACUACCGGGGUUGUGGUGCGUGCACUGCGUUUUCCUACCAUCUCUUUGCAGAGGAGCAGAGAAGACUGCUCCAGGAGCGCCUAGCAGCCAAAGCAAAGCUGAAAUGCCCAAGUGCAAAACCCUUUAUCCACGCAGCAUGCUGGCCACGCUGCUCAGCAGAAUUCUAAUACAUGCCAGAGAGCCAUGGUGGUGCAUCCAGAGCAACCAAGGAAGAGUGUGAAGCUUCCUACAGGGCUCAUGCCAAGCACGAGCCGUCCUACACAGACCGAAGGGAGCUCUCAGCUUCAAACUAUGGUUACCUAAAUCCAGGAAGGAAUGAGAAGCCAAAAGACUAAUAUGGCAAGGCAACCCAUGGGAAAUCCACUCAGCACACUUCCAGUUGGAAGCCUUAAGCACCACACUAGAUCCCCCCAGGUGAACAGAUCUUCCACAAAGCCUCCAGCAGGCCCCUGGGGACCACAGACCUGAACUCCAGCCUGAAAACAGCUGGCCCUGUGCAAGGGCAAAGACCUGUGUCUAGAGGGGAGGCAAACAGGAAGGACAUGAAGGUGGUGCCUCCAGGAAGCACUGCAGCAUCCCGAGUAACAGUGCCCCCAAACCAGCCUCGCGGUGCACACUGCUCCAAAAUUCAAGCAAUUGAGAGCAAUUUUAGUAGGAGAGAGAGGCUUAAACCAGAGCUGCCAAAGGCAAGCCAAACACAAAGGGUACAGGCUACGUGUGUUCCCAAGACCCCAUCAGCUGCAGAUCGGAAGUAAGUAGCAGCUCUGGCUGACUUGUCUUCACCUCCAGGGGACAGCAGAGUUUAAAAUGUUUAACUGGGUGAACCAGGGUCCAAAGUCCCCUUAUUGGUGAACACUUGUUUGGAUGUUAUGCCUCAGAAAAGAGGAGGGUGAGGAUGGGAUCUGGUGGUACCCUGGGUUCCUCUUCUGCCACUUAAGCAAGCCAGAGGAGAAUGUGCAGCUGCUCACCUCUUUUCCUUUCAAGGGAAUAUAAAGAAUAUUAAUAAAUA